rnacentral:sRNA from 1 species
CAUUUUGUUUAGCUGCUCAUCGUUUGUGGGCUUUAAUUUAAUUUUGAAGAUCC